GCAUAUCAGAACUAGAACUAGGGAUGUGACCAGCCCCCUUUCUCCUUCCCCUCGAUCCCCACGAGCUGCUGUGCCCCUCCCUCUCCCUUCCGUGCGUGCGCUCGGCCAAGGACACCGUCGUCGCCCUCGGUUGCUCCUCCAUGACCUCGCCUCUUUCUCCUCCUCGCCUACCCAUCGUCCGCGCGCAGGUUGCCGCCGUCGGAGAAUAGGACAGUGUCGGGUUACUUCCUCCUUUCCUCCCGCCGGAUCUAAAGUGUGCGGUUGUGGAGGAGAGCCUCUCCUGUAGGAGAGGUAAGAUGGGAGAGAGGGGGAGAAGGAAGGAGAGGAGGGAGGCCCAGCGGUGAACGAGAGAGGGUCAUCGGCUGGCGCCUGCCAGGUCAGGUGUUACCUGGUGGUUGGUGGCAGCUCGAUCCUGGGUCCUUUUUCUUCCACCUCCCCACUGCCUAACACCGAGCACCGGUCAGGGAGCAUGGGAUCGACAACGACGGCCGGAACCCAAGAGGGAGGAUGAGGGGAUUGAAGAGGGUGUUCUUGUGUUCAUCGCCUGAACAAGGAAGAGGACGACGACGCGGGGUGGAACAUGUCAUCCCUCUGGUUAUGGCCUUCCUUUCUGCUGCUGGGUGAGCUUCUUCUCCCUUCCCGUCAAUGAGAGGUAGUUACAGUAGUUGAUAUGUCGCCUUGCUCCGAGGCUGAGAUGAGGGUUUUCACUGAUUGUGGUGGCCUGAGGCGGAGAUCGACAGCCAGAUGCUUGUGGCUGCCAUACAAAACAUGCUCUCUUGCUGACCUCGAGGUCCAGCCGCAAUGGACCAUCUCCAAGUGUGGAUCAUUGGAGCUAUCAUGAAGAUAUAAGCAAGCUGCUGGUUUCAGCAACUUGGCAUUUUUGUACUGAUUAGUGAACUAGCAAGGUAUAGAAGAAGGACCUUUGCUUAAUGGUUGAUUUUCUUCUGCUCAUGGCAGCUUGCUCGAGGAAAACUUGCAAGCCCGAUGUGCACUGAUGGCGCUGCCAGCAACAUCAAGGAUGGAAUCAGCAAGACACUCUUUUAGGUCAGAGAAAUUGGCGGUCCAAUGAUUAAGCCUGAAUCUUCAUGGCUUCUACAGCCACCAACAUGGUGUAGCUCAGCCAGACCACAACUAUCGAUAGGUGACCAUCUUCAUUGAGAUAUCAUGAGGGUGAUGAUGGAGGAUAGCAAUGUCUCCAUCAGCUGCUACCAUAGAAGGUGGAGACAAGUGGCGAGUGACAGUAUUGCAGGCUUGCAGCUAUCAAUGAAGAUCGUGGUUGUUUGCCCCCCCUACAAAGAUUAAGGUCCCUUGGAGGCUACAAAUGAUAGGGCCUUCAUCACUCAUGCUGAUGUUCGAGAAGAAUCUGGGCCUGACACGGCAGCUGAACAUGUGCUAGGUUUGCUUACCUGCCUUUGAACUCUCUGAAUGUCAAAAGCACUAAAGUGGGUACUUCCUAAUGGAAAUAUUCUCUUCUUUGCUGGUGAGGGUAGGUUCUAUCUCAUCAGUUCUUGCUUCUUGAUGUUUCAUUGUAUUCAGUUAUGAUAUAUUUUUCAACUAUACAAGCACUUGGGGAAGUCAGGAAAACUGAACCAAAGACAAACACUUUUACUGGCGAUGUUCGGGCUUUUUUUAACUGAGAUGUGAAAGAUGCAUCUUAUCCCCUAAGAAAUAUUGCCUUUUAUUUCUUGAUUUUUCCCUGACCUGCUAAUUUAGAGCUAGAUAUUCAUGAUUCAUCAUACACAUUACAAUAAAUUAUCCAUUGGAAUCUUUUGUCCAUAGAGGUGAUUUUGUUUGGACCAUUUGUCUAGGUAGUGACAUUUUGAUCGAUAAGGCACAAGUUUAUUUUCUUUUUCACUCAUGGCUACACUAAACUAAGCAUCACCGUCAAUGAAAAGAAGGCAUACAAAUCAUGAAGUUUUUGCCUUGGUUUUGUGCCUCAUUUAGUUGUCACUUAUUUAUUUCAAGGAAGUUAUUCAAUUCCCAUCGAGCUUUCCUGAUGCUUUCCAUUUGUAAAAGAGAAAUUUAAUAUGCAAUAUUUUUAAUAUUCGAGGAGGCCACAGGAGAAGAAAAGGGGCUGUCAGGUCAGACUUUGGUGCAUCUCUGACCAAAGAUGGCUGGAUCCAUCCGACGCUCUUCCAAAUAGAGUGCAGAUAUGCUGACAGGUUUUGGUCCAAUGAUAUUAAACUUCACAAUAGGUAGUGGCAUCUUCAGGAAAAAGUAGUGGCAGAUACGAUGGACACUUCUUUUCGGGCAGACAUGAUGCUAUUGACUUGAGUCCUCAUCACAUAUUUUUCAAUAACGGAGAGGAUUAUUCACCUUUGCCACUGCAGGCGUUAAGACUUGGUGGAGCCAGGCCAUGAAGCACUAUUAGCAUUCAACACUUGGCCCUGAUGAGCAUGACAGCCUAUGCUACCGCCUGAACAUCUUCUAUUCUUCUUUUGGCCCAAAACGAGACCAGUAGGGGCACCUUGAGCGAGUACUCAAGGCAUGCAGUCAAGUCAUGAUGCUGGUUCCUUUUCGCUAGAUCUUACAUAUUUAAUUAUGUGAUUUUGGAAGCCAAAACUGAUUAAGAUCUUCUGUUCUUACUUGCAGAUGUUAUGUUAUUCAGAGUACUUCAGUUUCCAGUCUCUAUAUAUUAAUCAAAUUAUGGGUUAUUUUGAACCUUAUAGGCUUUUAUUAUAUGUUUAGUUAUGCUUCCAUGGGUUUUGCAUAUGUAUUAACAAAAGAACCAUACUACUAUUUUGUCUAUACUUGAAUCGAAGGACGUAUAGUUAAUUUGCUCUUACGAAAGGACUGAGUAGACAGCUAGCCAAAUGACAGGACAAUCAUGACAAGCAAAGCAACACAUAAAUAGUAAUCCCUGGGAGUACUUUGGAUUUUAAGUGGGAAUCAUAGUUAUUUUCUUCUUAACUUUGGUAUGACAAGCAGUUCAAGUGAUAUUCCUAAUUGUUGCUGCUGACACUGAAAAACUACUCCUGAAGCACUAGAAGUGCCCUCUCUAUGGUUCAUCACUCACUGGAUCCAUAUGGGCAACCUUCCGCUUCAAAAUUAAAAGAGCACAGUUUUUGCCUGCUAUCAUUGCUUACGAAGAGUAAUCUACCAUGUCCCUAAUAUAUAUACGUAAUUGUUGCACCAUCACAAGAUUUCCAUGAUAUGCAUGGGCAUAACUUUCUUUACUGAGGAAAGGCAGGCUGUCAUUUCUAAAGGUUGAGAUUUUCUGUUUUAAGGAAUGUCAACUAUCUAUUCCUUAUCUGGCAUGUGUAUUUGCUUUGUCCUCUACUUCUGAUAAGGCAAGACAGAUCAAACCAACAUAGUAAUCCUCUAAUCCUUGAUUAUAUUAUGAAAAAACACUGGUUUUUCGUGUCA